rnacentral:rRNA from 1 species
UACGUAGGGUGCAAGCGUUAAUCGGAAUUACUGGGCGUAAAGCGUGCGCAGGCGGCUAUGCAAGACAGAUGUGAAAUCCCCGGGCUCAACCUGGGAACUGCAUUUGUGACUGCAUGGCUAGAGUACGGUAGAGGGGGAUGGAAUUCCGCGUGUAGCAGUGAAAUGCGUAGAUAUCCGGAAGAACACCGAUGGCGAAGGCAACCACCUGGGCCUGUACUGACGCUGAGGUACGAAAGCGUGGGGAGCAAACAGG